GUGUGGUUAAAAUAGCCCCAGUCUGGAGUUUAUGCAUUUCAAAAGAGCAUAAAUUAAUUCCAGGGCUGAAAAAAAAAUACAGCCUUUGUCUGGAGGACAUUGUGCCUAUGACAUUAGCAGCACAAAACAUCUAAUGAUCUUGCUGGAACCCACUUGGGCUUGACUGGUUAGAGAGAUGAAUGAUGUCAUUGUGUUGGGAAUCUGAAUCGUGCUCUGAAAACAUGAUGCAGGAGACCUCCUAGACCCCUCCUACACAAAAAGCAGGAGGGAUUGGACCAGAGAAAUGCAGAAACAAAGGCAUUAGUUCAUUUCUUGCAAAGUUCUUCCUGCAUAGAUUUGAGUCACGUGCGUUGGAGAGAGUUGCAGUUCCAUCCAGAGCAUUACAGUGUUAACUUUACAGACUAGGAAUGUGAGCGGGAGAGACUCUGGGGAGCAUGCUCCAACGCGAGGAUGCGUUUGCCCAGCAGAGCGCUGACAACAGUGUGUGGCAUGAGUGUGAAGCAAAACAGCCAAACCACAUCACUCAUUUGACAGGUUCUGUUUAUUUAUAUUCAGUACCAGCUGAUGCCUCAAACCCAGACAGUGUUGUAGUGUCAGUGUUAAAUAUCAGUGCUACACUGGGGUCACAGGCUGUCCUGCCCUGCAAGAGUUACCGCAUGGUGUGGACCCAGGAUCGUCUGAAUGACCGCCAGCGUGUAGUCCACUGGGAUGUGUACAGCAACUACUAUGGAGAUAACAAGAUGGAGAGGCUAUGUGACAUGUACUCAGCUGGAGAUCAGCGUGUAUACAGUUCCUACAACCAAGGGAGGAUAUCCAUGCCCCAGAACGCAUUUACAGAUGGCAACUUCUCCUUGGUGAUCAAAGAUGUUGCAGAGAGUGAUGAAGGCACGUAUUCUUGUAAUCUUCACCAUCACUACUGCCACUUAUACGAAACUGUGAAAAUCCAACUAGCUAUCACCAAGAAAGCUGAGGAUGCAAGCCAGUACUGGGAUGGGGAAAAGCCUGUGAUUGUUGCCCUAGAAGGCAGCACAGUGAUGCUUCCCUGUGUGAACCGUAACCACAUCUGGACCGAACGGCACAGUGAAGAAGAACAGCAAGUGGUCCACUGGGACAGGCAGCCCCCAGGGGUUCCUCACGACCGGGCUGACCGCCUUAUUGAUCUGUAUGCCUCUGGCGAGCGCCGUUCUUACGGACCUCUCUUCAUUCGUCAGAAGAUGAACAUCACUGACACAGCCUUUGCCUUGGGUGACUUUUCCCUGCGGAUUUCAGAGCUGGAAAGCGCAGAUGAAGGCACUUACUCCUGCCACCUGCACCAUCAUUACUGUGGCCUGCAUGAGCGCAGGAUCUACCAAGUCUUUGUGACAGAGCCAGUGAGAGAGAAGAAGGUGGUGAACCUCACAACUCACAACAUUGCCCCAGCCAUAGAUCCAAAUGUUGUCAGGGGCCACAAUGUGAUAAAUGUCAUCAUCCCUGAAAGCCGGGUGCACUUCUUCCAGCAGCUGGGCUACAUCCUGGCAACUCUGCUGCUGUUCAUUGUCCUCCUCAUCAUUGUUGUCCUCGUCACCCGCAAGCGCCGGCAGAGAGGUUAUGAAUACAACGUGAAGAAAUAUGGAGAGAAGGAUGUAAAUCUUAAAGAAUUUACAGUUGACACAACAGAUCUGACUCAAUACAGAAGUGAAGACAUCAGACUGGGACUGACUCGGGGAAUUUACAGCAUUCUUGAAGAUGGAUGCUGCUCCUUACUACAGCUUGAAGGUGCAGCCUUGAGUUUAUUGUGUCAGUAAUUGAUCGGGGUGUCUUCUUGCUUGGACUUGGAGUGGAUUGUUUGUAAAGCAAAAUUGAUCCUCUUGUCUGCACUACCCUGAGAUGCCUGAAGACUUGCCAUGAUGCCAAGUUUGUACCUGCUGCAACUUGCUGUAUGUCAGUGAAUGUGCUGAUAAACCAGGAAACAAUUACAAAAACAACAUCCUGAAGGAGAAGGCUGAGCAAGCCAGAAGCUUCCCAGCAAAGAACAUUGAUUUAGACAAAGAUUUCAGGAAGGAAUAUUGUAAAUGAAGACAUUCCCAAGCUGCUGGCUGGACCAGAAGCUUCAAUCAAAGAUAAAUAAAUGGAAAAGAGAUGCCUUUUCUUAAUAUCAUGUCUCUCCAGUUACCAUAGAUUUUUUUUUCACGUAGACUUUCUCCCCACUAAGCACAACGGUAUUUGCAAAUGCUUCUUGAAAGAGUUAGACCAUCUGUCUUGUUUGCACUUAUGAUGGGUUUGGGUUGCCUUUUCUUCUUCUGUUCUCCCGGUCCUCCAUUCCCCUUUUCUUUCUUGAUAUUAUUGUUGGUUUUAUGCAUCAAUGAUUUUUAUGAGCUGAAUCAGCAGACCUUUUGCUUUGAUGUUACUGCUUUAAAUAAACCAACUUGCAUCACUAA